GAUGAACGCUAGCGAUAGGCUUAACACAUGCAAGUCGAGGGGCAGCAUGGUCUUAGCUUGCUAAGGCUGAUGGCGACCGGCGCACGGGUGCGUAACGCGUAUGCAACUUGCCUCACAGAGGGGGAUAACCCGUCGAAAGACGGACUAAUACCGCGUACACUCUAUGUUGGGCAUCCAAUGUAGAGGAAAUGAAAUUCGCUGUGAGAUAGGCAUGCGUCCCAUUAGCUAGUUGGUGAGGUAACGGCUCACCAAGGCGACGAUGGGUAGGGGAACUGAGAGGUUGAACCACCACACGGGUACUGAGACACGGACCAGACUCCUACGGGAGGCAGCAGUGAGGAAUAUUGGUCAAUGGGCGAGAGCCUGAACCAGCCAAGUCGCGUGAAGGAUGACUGUCUUAUGGAUUGUAAACUUCUUUUAUACGGGAAUAACAAGAGUCACGUGUGGCUCCCUGCGUGUACCGUAUGAAUAAGCAUCGGCUAACUCCGUG
rnacentral:rRNA from 1 species